CCGCACAAGCGGUGAGCAUGUGGUUUAAUUCGAAGCAACGCGAAGAACCUUACCAGGUCUUGACAUCCCGAUGCUAUUUUUAGAGAUAGAAAGUUACUUCGGUACAUCGGUGACAGGUGGUGCAUGGUUGUCGUCAGCUCGUGUCGUGAGAUGUUGGGUUAAGUCCCGCAACGAGCGCAACCCCUAUUGUUAGUUGCCAUCAUUCAGUUGGGCACUCUAGCGAGACUGCCGGUAAUAAACCGGAGGAAGGUGGGGAUGACGUCAAAUCAUCAUGCCCCUUAUGACCUGGGCUACACACGUGCUACAAUGGUUGGUACAACGAGUUGCGAGUCGGUGACGGCGAGCUAAUCUCUUAAAGCCAAUCUCAGUUCGGAUUGUAGGCUGCAACUCGCCUACAUGAAGUCGGAAUCGCUAGUAAUCGCGGAUCAGCACGCCGCGGUGAAUACGUUCCCGGGCCUU
rnacentral:rRNA from 1 species